GAUGAACGCUGGCGGCGUGCCUAGUACAUGCAAGUCGAGCGAACAGAUGAGGAGCUUGCUCCUCUGACGUUAGCGGCGGACGGGUGAGUAACACGUGGAUAACCUACCUAUAAGACUGGGAUAACUUCGGGAAACCGGAGCUAAUACCGGAUAAUAUAUUGAACCGCAUGGUUCAAUAGUGAAAGACGGUUUUGCUGUCACUUAUGGAUGGAUCCGCGCCGCAUUAGCUAGUUGGUAAGGUAACGGCUUACCAAGGCAACGAUGCGUAGCCGACCUGAGAGGGUGAUCGGCCACACUGGAACUGAGACACGGUCCAGACUCCUACGGGAGGCAGCAGUAGGGAAUCUUCCGCAAUGGGCGAAAGCCUGACGGAGCAACGCCGCGUGAGUGAUGAAGGUCUUCGGAUCGUAAAACUCUGUUAUUAGGGAAGAACAAAUGUGUAAGUAACUAUGCACGUCUUGACGGUACCUAAUCAGAAAGCCACGGCUAACUACGUG
rnacentral:rRNA from 1 species